CCGAUUGAGUGAGAGUCUACUGUAUAGCAUCUAAGUCACGAGUUCGAGCAUUUCGCAAAGCCUGGAAUGCUUUGCCACCCCUUUUUUGCUUUACUCUAUGAUUUAUUUGUUUUAAAAAGAGUGUUCUGUACACCUAGAGGUUUAACUUAUUUAUAAAAUAAAAAGAUACCCCUUUAGUAUCUGCCAAUUAUUCAAAUUGUUGAUUGAUUGUUCUUGGAAGUAUCGCAGUUUUCUCAUAUUAAAUUUAUUGAAAAUUUAAAGAAUAAUUUAAUUUGAAGAUAAUUAGAAAAAAAUAUUGAAGUACCAUAAUAGUUUUGAUUAAUAUAGAAUUUGUAUUAUCCUUAUAAGAUAUAUAAUAUGCAUGUAUAUUUUUCAGUCAUGCAUAUUAAUUUAAGAUUCAUUAAAUUAUGUUUAAUUGGUAAACCUUCUCACGGAAAUUUAGUUGAACGUAUUGCUUAGGACGGUUUUUAAUAAUAAAAGUGCUUCUUUGAAUUAUGAAUAUGGCAUUUUUAAAAAGCAAAAACAGGUCAAUCGAUAUAUCGUUUCUCUUAGAAAAUCAUUUUAUAUUGAAUGUUGGUGUACAUUCUGCGUGGUUGUGGAAGAAAAAAAAUGUUGUUUGUGGGUGUAAAGAUUUCAACCCUUUUAACUUGAAUUAGAUGCUUUCGUUGCCCUGUGGGCGGACUUUUAGUGGGAAGAAAUUUCUCGGUUUUCUUGCUCGUGCUACAUUUCGGGCUCGCUGGUUUUGGAGUACGUUAUGAAUAGUUGGUGCAUAGAAAUUAGCUUCUCUCAUAAAUCUUUACCACUAACUCUUGGGGCUGCUCUUCGCUCUUACCCCACGUUAUAAAAGUAUGUACCUCAAAUUUUUGGUGCUGAUUGUGUGGAAUUCACAAUUACUUUGAGAUAUUCUUGAAGUGAAAAUGCUUAGAGAAUUAUUAAAAGGCUCUUAGCUUGGAGCAAAUGGAAAAGGUGUGCGGUUUAACUUAACGUAGAUAAUCGUGACUCGUGUUAAACUUUUUAUUGGACUCAAUGGACUCGUAUAAAAAUUUUCUUAACCUUGAAGAAAUACCAUUUAUACAUAUAAAUUUAACGAUAUUUUUACGGUUUUGUGGAAGACGCAAAUGCGCAUCAGCUGUCGCAUAUGAAUGUGAGUAAAUUUGCAUGCAAAUUAAAUAUCUCUCCUCUGCGACUUAAAGCACUUGAUAAAUCUCGGUACAUCAUGAUGUGGAACAUGUCUUGGAUAAAAAUUUCAUCGUGAUGAAGAGUGUCCUCCAGGGAUGCUUGAGACAGAGUGUGUAUGGACACAAAUUGAAAAUGCGAAAAGGAAGUAAUCACACGUUUCAAGGACCUGAAAACAGUCGGCUCAGUGAACUGGAUGAUUUACCGAUGCAAAUGUACCAGAGUAAUUCAGCAAGUCCUUUGCCUUGAUGUGCCUGUCAACACAAUUCCUGAUUCAGGAUGCACUUGGGAUUGGAUGUGGUUUCCAGUGAUUUUUGGAGCGGGCUCCUCCAUUUCGUCUUCCGUUGACGGUUGAUGGCACAUAAAACAACAAACAUCAGCUCGUUUGCAGUUCGUUACAUUUUCCCUGAAAAACCGACGCGACAUGAAUUUCCCCUGGGAGAUUUUGGUAUUUUGUCGGCAGAAAAGCGUUAGAUAUUUUGCCUCAAAUCAGCCCACAUUUGGUCACCCUUCCUUCAUCACCGACAUCCACUGUUUUCUGGCAUCGUCAAACAAACCACCAUGAAACAGAAGAGUCAGCGUCAGCACUUUUCAGCACUUUUUUGGGAACACAAUCAAAUGUACAAAAAAAAACUCUCCCUCAUUCAUCAAAUAAAUAAAAUAUUGAACUAAGACUGCGAUUGAGGGGGAAAUUCUGGUCGAGAUGUGGUAUUCUUGGACAGCCAUAAAAGUUGAUUCCUAUCACGAAAAUAAUAAAGAUCAUGGACUAGUGUUCACUAAAUAGUGAUUUUUUCGUUUUUUGUCUUAUACAAAAAAAUUGUUAGAAAGGUUAGAAACUCUUACGCUGCCUUUCAUAACCCGCGGAUCAAUACUUUUGAACAGUAGAUUAGCAAUUUAGUCAUUGAAAAGGUAGAAAAUGAUCAGGAAUACUUUUAAACUAAAUCGACAAUUCCAAGCUGGUCUUUUAUACAUCAAACUUAACUUUUCCAAGAAUAUUUUACUAACUUUAUGCAUUUGUAAUUUUUACGAUUUACGUUUUCUUCAUGUACUGACCGAAUUAAAUUUUUACUUAUUAUGGCUCCAGCACACCUUUUAGAUCAAGAAAAUUUUAUAAAGUCGAAAUUCCAAUCCCUGUCUUUCUCACACGCUUUUCAUAUGUUUAUCUUAUUCUUUCGCACUCUUCUUCUUCUUUUAAACAUCACUCUAAAUUCAACUUAGCUCAAUCAAAUUUCGGGCGCGAGAGAAUAAGAUAGACAUAUACAAAGCAUGUGAGAAAGACAAGGAGUCCAAUUUCGACUUCAUGAAAUUUUCCUGAACUAAAAAGGUGUGGCGGAGCCAUUACUUUCAAAAUACUGCACAAUUUACUGCAGCUUAUAUUUAACCCAAACUUUAUUCAUAUAUAUCAGUAUAAAUUUAUUUAUAAACAUAUUUUUAUUAAAUAUACGUUCAUAAUAUCGUUUCGAAUUCUAAAAUAGAUGUGGAAAGUAACAAAAUCUUGUAAGUUAGCAGAAAUAAAGCAAAGAAAAAGAAUCCAAAUUGAAAAAAGUAAUAUGCAAAAAAAUAAACCACAAUAUUGCCUUUAAAUAAAUCAGUGAUAAACCCAGAGAAGCUUAUAGUAGCUGAGAUUCUUUACAGGUGACCUUGUAAUGCGUUCAACACGGGGUGCUUGCAACUCCAUACACUUGAUAAUUCGGCUGUGAGUUGCGACUAUGCAUUUGGAUUUCAGUGGCGCAAUAGAUAAGACCAUUAGGACUUGGGCGUAAGAGAUCUCUGACUCGACUCGCAAAGUUAUGAUUUUGUGUCCUUCGGGAACUGGGCUAAACCUCAAGUCUGAAGACCGCUUUAGGAAAAUGCAUUUUUAAUGUGAUAAAGCGUAAUAAAAUGCACCGCUUCUGCCCAAAAAAUACUCCAGGGGCACGGAAGAAACAUGCACAUCGGAGGGAAGGCGCAUCUAGACGGUCUAUAAUAGACUUAGACUCAGCACAUUCUUCCAACAUGGAAAGCAACAGCAAUAUGAUUUGCUGUUAAAGAAUGAGUUGUCUCCUGAUGAUUGAAGAGUGUUUGGUGCUGUGUCUCUGAGAUAUUUGUAUGAGCACCCUGGAACCCUCCCGCCAAGUUUGUAGGACCCCAAAUAACGAAACCCAGUGCUCUUUGACAUCACUCGACCACUGUGGAAGACACGGAGCGUGUCGAAAGCUCUGGAGAAGAGUGAGUUUUUUGAUCUUUUGGGUUGAAGACUCCACAGCUUGUGUUGCCGCGUCCGGACGGAGCUUCUCUCCGAAAAUUUCCACUAUAAUUUGGUUAAUGGUUACAUUCUUAUAAAGUAUUCCGAUAUGAUUAAUAAUAACUUC